GGUCUGGCCAGGUGGUUUAGCCGCAAGGUUAACACUACACUGGCUGGAUCUUUCCUUCUAGGGAACCAAUGUGCUCUUUAUUGAGUGCGCUGGGGAUCUAGGACUGUUACUUUGAAAAAAUUAGAGUGUUCAAAACAGGCAUUUUGCUUGAAUACAUUAGCAUGGAAUAACGGAAUAGGACUUUGUUUCUAUUUUGUUGGUUUUUAGGAACGAAGUA
rnacentral:rRNA from 1 species